GACGAACGCUGGCGGCGUGCUUAACACAUGCAAGUCGAACGAUGAACCCGGAGCUUGCUCUGGGGGAUUAGUGGCGAACGGGUGAGUAACACGUGAGUAACCUGCCCUGGACUCUGGGAUAAGCGUUGGAAACGACGUCUAAUACCGGAUAGGACCUUGGAUCGCAUGAUCUGGGGUGGAAAGUUUUUUCGGUCUGGGAUGGACUCGCGGCCUAUCAGCUUGUUGGUGAGGUAAUGGCUCACCAAGGCGUCGACGGGUAGCCGGCCUGAGAGGGUGACCGGCCACACUGGGACUGAGACACGGCCCAGACUCCUACGGGAGGCAGCAGUGGGGAAUAUUGCACAAUGGGCGAAAGCCUGAUGCAGCAAAGCCGCGUGCGGGAUGACGGCCGUCGGGUUGUAAACCGCUUUUAGUAGGGAAGAAGGGCUUCGGCUUGACGGUACCUGCAGAAAAAGGACCGGCUAACUACGUG
rnacentral:rRNA from 1 species